GUUCAACUGACGGGUCUCAAAUAGGACGAAAUGCGCAUCCUGUAU
rnacentral:hammerhead_ribozyme from 1 species